UUAAAUAUAAACAGUUAUGUUGAUGUGCACUCAUGGAUCACUGACAAAACUUUGAAUGUAUGAGGUGUUUGCGAAAGAUGAACACAUUGUUGACAACGGUCACGCUUGUUGUAAUUUUUCUUUUUCGUUUUAGCUUUUGUUGUUUGUGAGGCACAGCUGGAACGCUGCCCCGGUCUCACUCUGUGUUCGCGGACGACAUCCGAGAAGUUCAAGGCCACGAAUAACACUGCUCUAAAAUGCGCUGCCCUGCACGGAGGUUUGAACUGUCUGGAGGCAGUCAAACAGAACUGUCCUCCGAGCUACAGACUGACCCUGGAGAGAACCAUCCGAUACGCCAGGAUAGAACUAGCCAGACUGCAGUGCAUUAUUCAGUCGACGUUCGUAAUACCAGGCAGAGACAUGUCGAGUGCAGGUUCAUCUAACGUCAACUCAGCUUUUUGUGUGUUUUUCUUUGUGACAAGCGUGCUAUACCUGUUGCAGUAAUUAAGUAAUCAAGUAAUUAAGUAAUCAAGUAAUCAUGAACAUAUCAAAUGACAUCAAAAUGUUUAUGUACUAAAUUAAACAAAGAAACGUCUGUACUGAAUUCAACUGAAAUUGAUAAGAAGAUGCCAAAGUUUACCCAGUGUAGAUUGUUACCUUCUGCAUAAAAUGUUUCCCUUGUCAGUGUACGACUUCCAUUUCAUCAGUUUACAGGUGUCACUGCGUGGUCAAACCAAGCCCUGUCUUAAGAGGUGAUUUUUUAAAGGGACUGUCCUCAGUUUGCUUCCAUUGUAAUAUGUUUCUGACUAACAAAGCGUUUUUAAGACCUAAAACUACAUAAUAAAUACAUUUCCUUGUUUAGAACACCAGUGUCCGAAUAUUCAGUCUCUGGUCGUCCUAAUGUCUGAAGUAGGUAACACUUCAUUUUACUUACUUAUAUAUAUUUAUUUCGUACGUAAGAAAAUAUUGGGAGGUAAAAUCUAGUCUUGGCUUCUAGAAAUACACAGUUGUAUAUAAUCACUCUGAUAUUGUAAAUAAUAAAAUGCGAUUUCAUGUGUAAUUUUAGUCAUAAAACUGCUAUGUAUGUAUAAAACGUGUAGCAAUGGUAGCAGACUCAUUUAAUACAGCACAAACGAACGUGUAUAUUGAUGUCCAAAAGAAACUUUACAAAGCUGAACUUGUAUUACACAAAACUUACAACCGUUACAGUGUGAUAUGAAAGUAUUAUGUAGUCCAACACAUAAACAUCACAAAGCACUUCGAGAUACAUGCAAAGUGUUUAUAAGGUGGUUUCUAAAUAGGAUAUUUUCGAUUAGCAACAAUAUUUAUAAAAUUAUUCAAAUUUUAUGUAAAGUUUCUUUUGGACG